rnacentral:lncRNA from 1 species
AUGACGGUGACGACGACGAUGAGGGCUUGGAGGUUUCUCUGUAAACCCUACCCAUGACCCAUCAACAAUCAAUAAUCCCAAUGGGUUUGAUACACCAAUGAAGAAUUUUGAGUUGAUCGGGGUUGGAAUAACCGAAUGAACGAACGAAUUACGUUGUGAUCAGAUCUAGGGUUUGGAUUAAAAUUCGAAGCGAAUUGGAGAAAUUUGGACCUGGAAAUAGAAAUGUUAGGGCUUCGCAGCGAAUUUGCUUCCCCUUUUCGAUUCGAGCGAAUCUAGUGAUUCUAUUAGACUGAAGUUAGGCGAUUCUGAAAGAUGAAUUUCUAGGGUUUCGCCGUGGAGCGUGACAAAGAAAAGUUACGUUACAAAGAAAGCGAAGACAGAGACGCAAUCGAACACGAGUUGAAAUUGGCGUAUAAAUGGAGAGAGUGG